GACAGAGGGUGCAAACGUUGUUCGGAAUUACUGGGCGUAAAGCGCGUGUAGGCUGCCUCGAAAGUCAGGUGUGAAAUCCCUGGGCUCAACCCAGGAAGUGCACUUGAAACUUCGAAGCUCGAGUCCCGGAGAGGGUGGCGGAAUUCUCGGUGUAGAGGUGAAAUUCGUAGAUAUCGAGAGGAACACCGGUGGCGAAGGCG
rnacentral:rRNA from 1 species